GGAGAAAAGCAGGGGAUCGGAAGACCUUAUGCUUUUGGAGCGGCCGAUGUCUGAUUAGCUAGUUGGUAAGGUAAUGGCUUACCAAGGCAACGAUCAGUAGUUGGUCUGAGAGGACGACCAGCCACACUGGGACUGAGACACGGCCCAGACUCCUACGGGAGGCAGCAGUGGGGAAUUUUGGACAAUGGGCGCAAGCCUGAUCCAGCAAUGCCGCGUGAGUGAAGAAGGCCUUCGGGUUGUAAAGCUCUUUCAGUUGAGAAGAAAAGAUUGUGACUAAUAAUUGCAAUUCAUGACGGUAUCAACAGAAGAAGCACCGGCUAACUACGUGCCAGCAGCCGCGGUAAUACGUAGGGUGCGAGCGUUAAUCGGAAUUACUGGGCGUAAAGGGUGCGCAGGCGGUUCUGUAAGUCGAUGUGAAAUCCCCCCCCCGGGGGCG
rnacentral:rRNA from 1 species